UACGGAGGGUGCAAACGUUGCUCGGAAUCAUUGGGCGUAAAGCGCACGUAGGCGGCUCGUUAAGUCGGAUGUGAAAGCCCUCGGCUCAACCGAGGAAGUGCAUACGAAACUGGCGAGCUUGAAUAUGGAAGAGGGUCGCGGAAUUCCCGGUGUAGAGGUGAAAUUCGUAGAUAUCGGGAGGAACACCAGUGGCGAAGGCGGCGCCCUGGUCCGUUUCUGACGCUGAGACGCGAAAGCGCGGGGAGCGAACGGG
rnacentral:rRNA from 1 species